GGGCCCGUAGCUCAGUCCGGUAGAGCAUCGCCCUUGCAUUAGAUGGAUUGAUUUCAUCUUGAAGACAGGCGGGGGUCUUGGGUUCGAAUCAGUGAAAGUGGACUUUCAUUGUGAAUGUCCCGACGGGUCCA
rnacentral:tRNA from 1 species